rnacentral:rRNA from 1 species
UACGUAGGUGGCAAGCGUUGUCCGGAUUUACUGGGCGUAAGGAGCGCGCAGGCGGUCGUGCAAGUCGCGUGUGAAAGCCCCCGGCUCAACUGGGGAGGGUCACGCGAUACUGCUCGACUCGAAGGCAGGAGAGGGAAGUGGAAUUCCCGGUGUAGUGGUGAAAUGCGUAGAUAUUGGGAAGAACACCGGUGGCGAAGGCGGCGACCUGGUCCUUGACUGACGCUGAGGCGCGAAAGCGUGGGGAGCAAACAGG